rnacentral:rRNA from 1 species
UACGUAGGGGGCAAGCGUUGUCCGGAUUUAUUGGGCGUAAAGAGCGUGUAGGCGGCCAGGUAGGUCAGCUGUGAAAACUCGAGGCUCAACCUCGAGAUGUCGGCUGAAACCAUCUGGCUAGAGUCCGGAAGAGGAGAAUGGAAUUCCCGGUGUAGCGGUGAAAUGCGCAGAUAUCGGGAAGAACACCCGUGGCGAAGGCGGUUCUCUGGGACGGUACUGACGCUGAGGAGCGAAAGCCAGGGGAGCAAACGGG